rnacentral:rRNA from 1 species
GACGAACGCUGGCGGCGUGCUUAACACAUGCAAGUCGAACGGAAAGGCCCUGCUUUUGUGGGGUGCUCGAGUGGCGAACGGGUGUGUAACACGUGAGUAACCUGCCCUUGACUUUGGGAUAACUUCAGGAAACUGGGGCUAAUACCGGAUAGGAGCUCCUGCUGCAUGGUGGGGGUUGGAAAGUUUCGGCGGUUGGGGAUGGACUCGCGGCUUAUCAGCUUGUUGGUGGGGUAGUGGCUUACCAAGGCUUUGACGGGUAGCCGGCCUGAGAGGGUGACCGGCCCCAUUGGGACUGAGAUACGGCCCAGACUCCUACGGGAGGCAGCAGUGGGGAAUAUUGCACAAUGGGCGGAAGCCUGAUGCAGCAACGCCGCGUGCGGGAUGACGGCCUUCGGGUUGUAAACCGCUUUCGCCUGUGACGAAGCGUGAGUGACGGUAAUGGGUAAAGAAGCACCGGCUAACUACGUG